CGUCUGUCUUUACGUUCUGAGUUCAACUUCCGCCGAGGUCGACUUUGCCUUUCAUCCUUUUGGGUCGAUAAAUUAAGUACCAGUUGUAUAGUGGAGUCGAUCUCAUCCACUUGCCCCCUUCUCCCAAAAUUUCGGGCCUUGUACCUUGAGUAGAAACGAAUAUAUUUGGUUAAUC